ACGCUCGACACCUACGGAGGCAGCAGUGGGGAAUAUUGCACAAUGGGGGAAACCCUGAUGCAGCGACGCCGCGUGAGCGAAGAAGUAUUUCGGUAUGUAAAGCUCUAUCAGCAGGGAAGAAACUGACGGUACCUGACUAAGAAGCACCGGCUAAAUACGUGUCAGCAGCCGACGGUAAUCUGAGCGGGCUGGCAAGGC
rnacentral:rRNA from 1 species